CCUACGGGAGGCUGCAGUAGGGAAUUUUGCGCAAUGGGCGAAAGCCUGACGCAGCAACGCCGCGUGAUCGAGACGCCCUUCGGGGUGUAAAGAUCUGUCAGUGGGGACGAAACUUGACGGUACCCACAGAGGAAGCACCGGCUAACUCCGUGCCAGCAGCCGCGGUAAUACGGGGGGUGCAAGCGUUGUCCGGAAUCAUUGGGCGUAAGGAGUUCGUAGGCGGGACGUAAAGUCUGGUGUGAAAGGCAGAGGAUCAACUUCGGUACGGCACUGGAUACUUGCGAGCUAGAAUGCGGUAGAGGUACAGGUCAUUCCUGGUGUAGCGGUUAACUGCUUAGAUAUCAGAAGGAACAUCGGUGGCGUAAGCGCUUUACUGGGCCGUAAUUGACGCUGAGUCACGACAGCCAGGGUAGCACAUGGGAUUAGAUCCCCCGGUAGUC
rnacentral:rRNA from 1 species